AAGUCGUAACAAGGUUUCCGUAGGUGAACCUGCGGAAGGAUCAUUAACACAAAUAAUACUAAAUUUUCGAACCCAAAUCCAUAUAACAUAUAAAUAAAAAGGUGGAGAUAAUUAUUAUUCAUUUAAUUUUUAUCAAAACCUAUAACUUUUAACCUUUAAUAACCCCUAACAAAAUAACUACUUGACUAAUAAACUGAUUGUAUCUCAUCUUAAGUUUAACUUAUUCUCCUGCAGAGAUCUUUAUUGAUCUUUACAGGAUUGAGUUUGUUAAAUGACGAGUUGAGUCCGAUCAAAGUUGUAUACGCAACAAAAAAAUACAACUCUUAACAAUGGAUAUCUUGGUUCUC
rnacentral:misc_RNA from 1 species